rnacentral:rRNA from 1 species
CCCAGACUCCUACGGGAGGCAGCAGUGGGGGAUAUUGCACAAUGGGGGAAACCCUGAUGCAGCGACGCCGCGUGGGCGAAGAAGUAUUUCGGUAUGUAAAGCCCUAUCAGCAGGGAAGAAGAAAUGACGGUACCUGAGUAAGAAGCACCGGCUAAAUACGUGCCAGCAGCCGCGGUAAUACGUAUGGUGCAAGCGUUAUCCGGAUUUACUGGGUGUAAAGGGAGCGCAGGCGGCACGGCAAGCCUGAUGUGAAACCCGCGGCCCAACCGCGGGACUGCAUUGGGAACUACCGGGCUGGAGUGCCGGAGAGGUAGGCGGAAUUCCUAGUGUAGCGGUGAAAUGCGUAGAUAUUAGGAGGAACACCAGUGGCGAAGGCGGCCUACUGGACGGUGACUGACGCUGAGGCUCGAAAGCGUGGGGAGCAAACAGGAUUAGAUACCCCGGUA